rnacentral:misc_RNA from 1 species
GAAAUGCGAUACGUAGUGCGAAUUGCAGAAUUCAGUGAAUCAUCAAAUCUUUGAACGCAUCUUGCGCUCUUGGGUAUCCCUGAGAGCAUGCUUCUUUGAGUAUCGUCUCAACCCAACCUCGUCUGCGUGCUGUGUAAAAACAGCAACGCACGCCGGAGAAUGAUCGUCUCACUUGCAGUGAGUCGAUUGAAAUCACAUGGCGCUUAUCAUUCGAACCCUUUGCCGGACGUAACACUCUGGGUGGGCUCGAUGUUUGAUAAAGGUUUCUUUUAACCCCAUCUGCAUCGAAUCUCACGGUACGAUUGGAAGUGCGAAGGAAAACUCAAUUGUUUUUUGAACUUGAUCUCAGAUGAAGCAAGAAAACCCGCCGAAUUUAA